rnacentral:lncRNA from 1 species
AGCUAUUUCCUUUCAUUUCAUACCUAAUAAAAUUAUUUACACAAGGUUUUUAUAUCUAUUACAAUUCUUAACCCUAGCAGUUUAAUAAAGAUAGUCUUUAAACGUAAUAAGUUCAAUUAGGCCAUCAAUUGCCAACCCAGUUAACUUUAUAGUCUAUAAGGUCCAGUGGUUUGGUUCUUGCUCUUUUACUCCUCUCUUGGAUAAUUGUACUUGCAGCUACUGGUUCAAUACGUUCCUGUCCUUCCAGUUCAGCCAGCUCUUGCUCGAUGAGGUCCUCCAUACCACGCGAGUACGUAUCAACUCCAUCCUCCUCCGGAACGGCCUUGACCUCAAGGUCGAAGUUUGGAAAUGCUCUCUUCAUAGUGCUCACCGACUCCCUUGAUGCUUCUUCCUAUGGUAAACCAUGCUAUUUGAUUUGGACUUCCUCCUUCUGUCCUCCCGAUGUAAACACGGAUCUCUUGGCCAUUACUCAGCUUGGUGUUGUUACUGGUUGGUUACCUACCAAUACAUUAGGUAUUUUAAAAUAUUUAAUAGGAGGAAUUUCACCUUUAUAUGCUUUUAGGCAGGACACAUGAAAGGUGUCAUAAAUUUUAUUCUCCCAAGGCAAUUUCAACGUAUAUGUCAUAUUAGAGAUACACCCUUACCUUAAAAUAAAUCACACAUAUAACAUUAUAAUAAAAUUAUGAUUAACACCCUCUUAUUUUAUCACAACUCUUCACAUUCUUAUUUCAUCUUUCAUAAUCAAAUAUUAAUCAAAUAUUCAAUCUUAUAUUAAUUCCAUAUUACACAUUCCUAUAUACAUUAAUUACCAUAAUUAAAUACACCCAACCAACAUAGCCGUUGGGUGUUCUUCUAUAUAAACACAUCUAAUCUUAGUUUAAGAUUACACUUGAUCACACACACACACAUACACUCUGUAAUACAAUUACAGAUUCUCUGUCUGAUCAUUCUGCAUCUACAACUGCUGAUCUUCAAACGCUUCCGCAAUACAACAAACUUGAAUCACAGAUUCAAGUUCAAUCACUUUCAAUUCACUUCAACAAGAUGUGGAUCAUCGCUUCAUCAAACCCUGAUCAACCGAUCAUCCUACAGUAUCAUUUUACAGUUCAUUAUAUCAUACAUACAUCCAUAAUUAUAUAUCUAUCACAUUCAUAAACCACAUUCCACAUCUCAUAUUUAUAUUUACAUAUAUAUAUAUAUCAAAUAUAUCUUCUAUCAUGGUAUCAGAGCAGGUUCAAUCCUGAUCAAAAUAUUUUUUUUUCUUUAUUCUAAAAUCCUUUCUUUUUUCUUUACAAAAAGAAAAGAAACAGCACUACAAACUGUUUCAAAAAAAAAACACAAAACUCUAUUUUUUGAAAACACAGCAACAUUCAAUCAUCAAAAACAACCCUGUUUCUCCAGAUAUUGUCAAAGAAUUCUUGUGGAGGACGAGGAGGUAGUGGAAUCUCUACUGCUGAUGGGGGUGAAACCCGACCAGUACUCCAAGACGCGCAAGCAAGCGUCAAGCGGGGAACUCCGCGGGAAACCGGACCGGAACUCAAGUGUGCAGAGCUCUGCUUCGCUAGGAAUCCUUUCGCUCCAAAUGACCUGCCUUUAAUGAGUGGGGGGUGCCCUCUAUUUAUAGGGGUUCUUAUGGGGGCAAUAUGGUCCUUUGGGCAGUAACCGCCUAACUGCCCAACUGAUCAUAUUGGGUCCAGGGGUCGACUUUCCAGAGAUCGACUUUCUGGGGGUCGACUUUUCCUGGUGAUCGACUUUACUCAAAAGUCGAUCCCAGGGAAGUCGAUCCUCGGGAAAGUCGAUCUUCCUAGGAUUCGACCUGGGACCUCCCCAACCCUAGAAUAGAUACCUCAACUCAUCUUAGGCUAUCCGGACUUCUAGUUGCUGGUAGGUUGUGACCGUGUUCGGGAUACUGUAUCACCAGUACUCCCCCCUCCUCUGCGUAUUAGAUACUUUGGGAUACGUCUUUUAGUACUAUGGUCUGCGUGUCGGACCCUGUACUAUCAGUAUUCCCCCCCUCUUUGCGUGCUGGGAUGUGGAUUUCUGGUGAUGUCCCUGGAUGUAAGAUCCUCUCUCACCAGUACUCCCCCCCCCUCCACGCCUGCGAGGUUGUAUCUAUGCUUCCACGGAGGUUGUCACGCGCUUUUGCCAACUAUUGUCCGGUUUGUCCUAGCCAAAGCCUACUCCUUGCACACUUGUCCGGCCUGAUUCUCCCGCGGAACCCUGCUUGCCCACCUUGACGCCUUGCCUGAGCUGUCCUUGAGCACUGUUUGAGUUCUCUUCCCUGUGGCGGGUUUUGAGAGUACCCGACCCCCUCCUUUUCUCCGCCUUUCUGCGAUAGGGGAUGAGUGUGCUUCCUCGUCUACCCACGUUCAUCCGUGGGUGAGGACUAUUACUUGAAUACUUGCCCCCUCCUUUUGCUCGCCUUUCUGCGACUGAGGCUAAGUGUUACUCCUCGUCUACCUACGUUCAUUCGUAGGUGAGGAUUGUUACUUGAAUAUUUCCCUCGUCUAACCUACGUUCUUCCGUAGGUGAGGUUUACUCUUGGGCACUUGCCCCUCUGUCUAUAUUUUUNNNNNNNNNNNNNNNNNNNNNNNNNNNNNNNNNNNNNNNNNNNNNNNNNNNNNNNNNNNNNNNNNNNNNNNNNNNNNNNNNNNNNNNNNNNNNNNNNNNNUAACCUACGUUCUUCCGUAGGUGGGGUUCACUUUUGCCGAUGUGUUCCCCGUCUAAUCCUACGUUCUUCCGUAGGUGGGGUUCACUUUUGAGUACAUCCCUCGUCUAACACUACGUUUCCGUAGGUGAGGUUCACUCUUUAGCUGAUGUGUUCCCCGUCUAACCUGCGUUCUUCCGCAGGUGGGGUUCACUUUUGCCGAUGUGUUCCCCGUCUAACCUACGUUCUUCCGUAGGUGGGGUUCAUUUUUAAGUACGUCCCUCGUCUAACACUACGUUUUCGUAGGUGAGGUUCACUUUUUAACUGAUGUGUUCCCCGUCUAACACUACGUUUCCGUAGGUGAGGUUCACUUUUUAACUGAUGUGUUCCCCGUCUAACCUACGUUCUUCCGUAGGUGGGGUUCAUUUUUAAGUACGUCCCUCGUCUAACACUACGUUUUCGUAGGUGAGGUUCACUUUUUUCCUUGGAUGGGAUAUGCAUCCUGACUCUGUUACCAUUAAGACUUUCCCUACCCACGUUCUUCCGUAGGUAGAGUUAAUUUGGCGUCCUACUUUGUUACUGCGUCCAGUAAUAGUAGGAGUUCAAAUAUCUUUAUAUGGCUCAGUUCAUUUUGCUGCCGUAUCCCCGUCCGAGUUGUGGACUUCCACGAUUUCUCCGGAGCAUUUUGUGUUACACCCUCCUUUCUUGGUGCGUCUCUGCAACUUCAACUUGUCUGGGUUCUUUUUUCUGUGCCCCUUUUCUGUGGGAAGAAAAAGUCGAUCCCCUGUUGAUUUUGCUCGACUUUGGCUAAAUGUCGAUCCCUUAUCGAGUUUGGUCGACUUUUGCGAAAUGUCGAUUCCUUGUUGACUUUGGUCGACUUUUGUCAAAAAGUCGAUUCCUGGUGCUUUUGGUCAAAAGUCGAUCCCUUGUGUAAAAAAGUCGAUUUUGCCAUUUUUGUCCUUUUGUGCUGUCCUAGAGUCUAUAAAUAGGACCCCUAGGUUCUUAUUUUCCUUCAUCCAUCCAUGGCUCUUCUUGUGAGUCUCUUUGCUGAUUUUAUUCAGGGAGAGAUUGAGGAGCUGGAUCGGAUUUUGAAUAUUUUGGAUCCUCGGUCGUCAACCUUGGAUCUUCCUUCUCUGCGCCAGCUUAUUGUUGAGCGGCAGAGUGUUGCUGUUGCUACUAGGGAAUCCAUAUUUGAAGAAUGGUCUGGCGGCGAUCUUCCGCCCGCCUCUUCUUCUGUUGUCCCUCCUCGUGGCCGACGUCGGAGGCGUCCCCGUCGCGGUGCUUCCCCGCUGGACCAGGUCCCUCGCCGCUUACGUCGCCGUAUCAAUUUUAAUUAGGAACCUGUAAUAUUUUUCAUUCAUCAUUUUUGUGACUUUGAAUAAAUAUAUUUUUACCUUUUCCUUUACUCGACUUACACCUUUACUUUGAAGUACGUUAGUGUAACCGAUUUUUUCUUUUGGUCAAUACCAUAUUUUUUGUCCUUUUCUGAAGAUGUCGGAUUUUUGACAACGAGUCGAUCUCAUUUCUCCCUGGAAAUGUCGAUGUUGCCCAAAAAAGUCGAUCUCAUCUUUUUCUGAGGAUGUUGAUGACUGCCGAUCCUUUUCUGAAAAUGUCGGAUUUUUUGGUAACAAGUCGAUCUCAUUUCUCCCUGAAAAUGUCGAUGUUGCCCAAAAAAGUCGAUCUCAUCUUUCUCUGAGGAUGUCGAUGACUGCUGGUCCUUUUCUGAAGAUGUCGGAUUUUUUGGUAACAAGUUGAUCUCAUUUCUCCCUGGAAAUGUCGAUUGUGCCCAAAAAAGUCGAUCUCAUCUUUUUCUGAGGAUGUCGAUGACUGCUAAUCCUUUUCUGAAGAUGUCGGAUUUUUUGGUAACAAGUCGAUCUCAUUUCUCCCUGGAAAUGUCGAUGUUGCCCAAAAAAGUCGAUCUCAUCUUUUUCUGAGGAUGUCGAUCAGAGCAGUGCGGAAUGUCGAUCCUGUCCUUCUUUUUUGAAGGCAUCGAAUUCCUUGUCAAAUGUCGACGUCUAUCUCCUUUUUUGGGAAUGUCGAACUCAAUUUUCUGUGGAAUGUCGAUCCUGUCCUUCUCUCUUGAAGGUAUCGAAUUCCUUGCCAAAUGUCGACGUCUAUCCCUUUUUUUGGGAAUGUCGAACUCAAUUCUCUGUGGAAUGUCGAUGGUUUUUCUGAAAUGUCGAUGAGUCUUCCUGGAAUGUCGAUGCCAUCUAGUUGGGUUUUGGGGUUUUUCACGGACUGGGCCGUCGUGGGCCUGCCGGGCCCGUGGGCUUCCCGGCCCAACGGGUCGACCCGGAUGAACAGUGCUCGCGACGGUUCGUCUUCGACUUUCCCCUAUAAAUAGCGGAGGGGGGUUCACUUCCUCCCCACUUGUUUCCUUCGCUCUGAGGCAUCGACUUUCUUCGCAUCGACUUCCAACUUCUCCGCUUCGACUUCCAGCGUCUCCGCUUCGACUUCCAGCGUGCGUGAGGCUUCGACUUGAGCCUUGGAGGUGCAGCUUUCUGGGGUCCGACUUUUGUUGUCGGGCUCUUCUGAGGUUGCACCGGGUUUGACUUCCUUGGGGUCCGACUUUUCUGAAAGUCGGUCCCUUUCGAAGUUGUUCCCCAUUGGACUGUGGUCCGACUUUGUGAGGUUUGACGCCUUGUCAUCGACUUUUCAAAGUUGGAUCCAUUUUUACUGGAAUCGACUUUCUGAGAUCCUUGUCUCCCGAAGGUCGACCUUUCUGGGAUCGACUUCUGAGGUCGACUUCCCUGGGAUCGACUUCCCUUAUGUUGCUAGUUCGAUUCCAAGUUCGAUUCCCUGAAGUCCGGAUCGACUUUUCUUGGGAUCGACUUUUGUUGCUAUGUUCUUCGUGCAGGUUCAUAAUGUCUUCUGACAAGAACUCACAGCAAGAUCUUCCUCUUGAUGAGGAUCGGGUUAUCGUUGCCAGCCCUCAGACCUCUCAGGCUGAUGCUGCCAAGACAGUGUCUGUUACCAUGGAUGUUCCUACUGAACCAGAGUCUGUUCGGAUUACUCCUGUCGUAACGGAGCCUAGAGCUUCGCCUUCCUCCUUGCCUAUUGGAAGUAAGAGAAAAACUCUUUCCCGUCGUACGCGCAAGCCCGUACCUAGUAAGUUACUCAUUUAUUGUUUAUUUCGUAACUUACUCUUUAUUUGUUUCUUUUUUGUUUGUAGGUGCUCCCCCUCCUUCCGCACGUUCCAGUUCGGGGUCUUCUACAUCUAGUUCUGGAAGCUCGGGUUCUUCCUACUGCUCCUCUUCUUCAGAGCAAGAUGUAGAAAUUGGAGGAACCCCUCCCUCCGUUGUUAGGACUCCUCCUCCUACCAUUAUUAUGGCUUCCAUUCCUGAGGAGACUCCUACUUCGGAGAAUUUAUCCGUGACUACGGACAGUUCUGUUCAACUUCCUCCCGAAGUUCGUAGUCAAAACAUUCAUAUUUUGGAAAGUUCUCCUUUGGGUUACCCCUCUGAGACGAGGGACAAAUACCCCUUUCCUUCUCCCCUUGAGGAGAAGAGCGCCUCAUCCUUCUAUCGGGAAAUGGAUGGUUCAUGGCGUCAAUGGUCCGUUCUUGUUCGCAACGGUUUCCACGUCGUCCCUAUCCUUGACCGGGGCGAAUAUGGAACUGGAUAUGGUUCCUUCUGUGCAGUCUCUCUGACUGAUAUUCCGGGCUACUCCCUUUCCUCUAACGCGGGUAGCUGCUCUAACACCCUUUCUUUGGAUGCCGCCCAAAGAAUUUUGAGGGGGUUAGAGCUUAGAGAGAGAGUGUACUGGGCGUACCCCUCUGAGAACACUGGCGACGUGCCCCCUAUUUUAUGCUGGCACUCCAUCGUGUAUAUUUCACUAACUUUCCGAUCCUCCCGAUCCCUUCCUUGGUUAGUGAAAUUCUUUUGUAUUCUGGGUUGUGCAUCUCUCAAAUGGGUGCUGCCUUCUUUUUCUACGUCAGGGGGUUUAUAAAUAUUCUCCGGGAUGCUGGCAUAGUCCCUACUGCUCGGCUGUUCUUCCACUUCUUCACAUUCCAAAAUCCGAAGAAGGGCAGCCCUUUUAUUGCAUGUGCCAGCCGUGCUAUAUCUAUCACUCACUCUGCCCUCUUGAAAGAUCCUCCGACCAGGCGGAACAAGAGUGAGUUCAUUUUUGUGGAUUGCAGGUUAUGCCCUGGUAGCAGACUUCUCCCUGCAUCCACUAGUGGUCGCAAGCCCAUUCCUCGUCCUGAUCUGACUGAGGAUGAGGGAGCUUCCGAGCAAAACCUGGCCUAUUUGCAUCCUAUCGCUGUGCCUGUCGGUCACGUGAUUGAAGAUACUUUUAACCGACAAGGUCUUCCUUUGCCUGUUUUUCCUUUUAUGUUUUCUAUACAUAUGUAUUUUCUAAUUCUGUUUUUAUUCCUUGCAGAUUUUUAUAUGCAAAACCCCGGAGGUGUCCCUGAAC